rnacentral:tmRNA from 1 species
AAUGGAGCUGGUACUCGGCAACCCCGCCGGCGAGGCGAGCCGAGGACGAGAUCAGAGCGCCGGCUACGCUCGUAGACGCCACCUUUCACGCGACCGCGGACGCGGGUUCAAUUCCCGCCGUCUCCACCU